GUCAAGUGAAGAAGCGCAUACGGUGGAUGCCUUGGCAGUCAGAGGCGAUGAAAGACGUGGUAGCCUGCGAAAAGCUUCGGGGAGUCGGCAAACAGACUUUGAUCCGGAGAUGUCUGAAUGGGGGAACCCAGCCAUCAUAAGAUGGUUACCUUACACUGAAUACAUAGGUGUAUGGAGCGAACCAGGGGAACUGAAACAUCUAAGUACCCUGAGGAAAAGAAAUCAACCGAGAUUCCCUUAGUAGUGGCGAGCGAACGGGGACUAGCCCUUAAGUGGCUUUGAGAUUAGCGGAACGCUCUGGAAAGUGCGGCCAUAGUGGGUGAUAGCCCUGUACGCGAAAAUCUCUUAGUCAUGAAAUCGAGUAGGACGGAGCACGAGAAACUUUGUCUGAAUAUGGGGGGACCAUCCUCCAAGGCUAAAUACUACUGACUGACCGAUAGUGAACCAGUACCGUGAGGGAAAGGCGAAAAGAACCCCGGGAGGGGAGUGAAAUAGAUCCUGAAACCGCAUGCAUACAAGCAGUGGGAGCCGACUUGUUCGGUGACUGCGUACCUUUUGUAUAAUGGGUCAGCGACUUACAUUCAGUGGCAAGGUUAACCGAAUAGGGAAGCCGUAGAGAAAUCGAGUCCGAAUAGGGCGAAUCAGUCGCUGGGUGUAGACCCGAAACCAAGUGAUCUAUCCAUGGCCAGGAUGAAGGUGCCGUAACAGGUACUGGAGGUCCGAACCCACUACUGUUGCAAAAGUAGGGGAUGAGCUGUG
rnacentral:rRNA from 1 species